rnacentral:rRNA from 1 species
UACGUAGGGGGCGAGCGUUGUCCGGAUUUAUUGGGCGUAAAGAGCGUGUAGGCGGCCAGGUAGGUCUGCUGUGAAAACUCGAGGCUCAACCUCGAGACGUCGGCGGAAACCAUCUGGCUAGAGUCCGGAAGAGGAGAGUGGAAUUCCUGGUGUAACGGUGAAAUGCGCAGAUAUCAGGAGGAACACCGGUGGCGAAGGCGGGUCUCUGGGCCGAUAUCGACGCUGAGGAGCGAAAGCGUGGGGAGCGAACAGG